rnacentral:lncRNA from 1 species
UGUCUCCUCACGCAGUCCCCGGGGCGGCCCAGCCUCCUGUGUCUCGAGCACUUGGCCCAGGACCGACGGCUUAGGCUGGUUUCCCCCCAUGUGUUUCUCCGCAAGGGGUAGCUGACUUUUUGUUGGAUGAGAAUUAAAGAACGAGCUUUUCCCGCAACGUUUUGGUAGAAGGCCCUCUUUCCCAUUACAGGCUCAUUUCCACCUGCCCCCAGUAGAGGAUCUUGGAAAUGGGGGGGGGAGCCCCUGCACUUAGUUAUUCCUUAGAGCCAUGUCUCCCUGCCAACCAUUGCCCCUCAGCACCCACGGGCUCCGGCGCCCCCUGAUUAGCGGGGAAGUCCGCUAGGAGAAGAUCCUGACAGCAUAAAAUAUAAUUUGUGAUCUAAAAGACAGUUUCCAGUAUAAUCUCAUUAUGCACCACAGACUCCCGGUGUUAUUUUGUGGAAGGCGGACAAUGAUCAAUUUACAUUGACCCGGGCUGGGCGAGCUUUUAGAUGGUAAUUGCCAUAUUGAUUUGCAUGCAAAAAGGAGACCUGCUAAAAUUAAAGACCGGAAGCUAAAUUAAACUAAAUUUAUUGUCUAGGUGCAAACCGGAGAAACUACUGGGGGGAUGGGGGUGAGUCAGGUCAGGGUGCCAGGAGCAGACCAGGUGAGAAGCUUUGGAACCUCAGAGAGUUGGGAGCUGUCUUUGCUCUGGUGAUUUCAAAAUGUGAGGAGGGGGCUUGUUUAGGGUAUGGGGACCCAGCGGGGAAAAAGUUAUAAACCGGCACUACUGCAUUGAAGGCACUAGGGUCUUUUAAUGCUAAUAGUAACUGCUGGGGGGGGGGGGGAGAGGUUUAUAGGGCUAUAGAGGGGUCUUCCUGAACCGUUUCCGGCACCCCUCAUUUCUAUUGUUCUACCUGAGCGCUCACAGCCAUGCCCAAGGACACGCAAAAUUCUUGGAUCUGAAGCCUUAAAAAUUUUUGUAAAGGCAGGCCUUUAACCUACCCCCCGCCCCCCAGCCGUCAGGUCUUUCUGAGAGAACUAGAGUAGGGGGCGGCUCUGCACCCGCGCGCCACGCCGCGAGCAGGCUCGGACCGUUGGAGGCUGCGGGACUUCCUCCCUGGACCAGCUCCAGACUCUGCCCGACGCCGUUGUCUUCCGGAAGCUCUCUUCAGGUGGCCCAAGAGACUAGACGCUUGAAGAAAAGCUGCCAUCCAAGAAGACGACAUGCUUUCAGCAACCCCCCUGUAUGGGAACGUUCACAGCUGGAUGAACAGCGAGAGGGUCCGCAUGUGUGGAAUCAGUGACGACAGGUGAAUGCAUGGGUCUGGCUGAGGCCUGGGGAGCAUGCGGGUCCUUCCCUGGGGCUCCUAAGCAGAGCCCCCUUCACCUCCUCACAGCCAGAGUGGGCCCAAAGGGGGGUGGUGGGGGGAGAUCUCCUGCCUAGCUGGCAGCCUUGAUUUACAGUUUUAACAGGCAACCCGGCUCAGCGAAGCAUUGCCGCCCUUUAAGAGAUUAGCCCCUAAAGCGGCCUUUCAGUGCUCUUUCGUCCUUAAUUUAUUAUUUCAUAUUUAUGAAGGAGAAUUAAUCCCAGUCUAUAUGCUGCUUUAACUCUAAAUGUCAGGAGUGUGGGCCCAGGUGGAUCGGCAUUCGAUGUGCUUUUAAAACAAAUAGUUUGCUCAGUAAUAAAUGGGGCAAAAGCCACCCUUCA